rnacentral:misc_RNA from 1 species
UCUCCGUUGGUGAACCAGCGGAGGGAUCAUUAUCGAGUUAUACAACUCCCAAACCCUAUGUGAACUUACCACUUGUUGCUUCGGCGCGCGCUUCGGCGCCGCCGAGGACACUUAAACUCUUUGUUUUUAUAAGCAUUUCUGAGUGGCCGAAAGGCAAAAAUACAAAUGAAUCAAAACUUUCAACAACGGAUCUCUUGGUUCUG